CUCAAAGAUUAAGCCAUGCAAAUGUAAGAAUACUGUUUUUAUAUACAGUUGUCUGUGAACGGCUCCAUAAAAAGGUUAUAGUUUAUUUGAAUGUGGAAACAUAAAACAGUUUCAAUUAUGUGGAUAUCUGUUGGAAAACAAGAGCUAAUACAUGCAAAAAGAGGUAGAAUAGAUGUAUACAUUUAUCUUCCUUGCAUUAACUAGAUAAAAAACCAAUUUAAAAAAGGUGAUACAUAGUUUACUAUGCAGAGUGAAUAGAAAUAUUCACCGCUUCAUUCAAAUUUCCUAUCUAUCAACUGAGAUUGUUCUAUAGAGGAGAACAAUGGUUAUGACGGGUAACAGGGAUUUAGGGAUCUAUUUCUGAAGAAUGAGCAUUAAAAACGGCGCAUACUUCUAAGGAAGGCAGCAGGCGCGAAAAUUACCCAAUAUAUAAUAUAUGAGGUAGCGACAAAAAAUAACAACUGGAAAAAAAAUGAGAAAAAAAGAAAAUAAUUUUUUUUUUCUCAACCAGAUUGCAAUGAAUACAAUUUAAAAAAAUUAAUAAGCAUCAACUGGAGGGCAAGCUCUGGUGCCAGCAGCCGCGGUAAUUCCAGCUCCAGUAACGUAUAUUUAAGUUGUUGUAGUUAAAAAGCUCGUAGUUGAAAGAAAAACAAAAAAAAAAUAAAAUAUUUUUAAAUAAAAUGUUUUUGUUUUUUUGUUAUAUUAUUAUAUAAAAGAUCAAUAUCAUUCUGAAAGGAAUUUGAAUAUUGUUUAAAAUCUUUAUAUAUUUUACCAUAAAUAAAAUAGAGUGUUUAAGGCAGUACAAAUAAAAUGUMCWUUGAAWAAUAGAGUAUGGGAUAAUGAAAAAGGGGRGKGUUUUCUAUACAUAUAAAUAAUUUAUAUAUAGAAAUAACAUUCCAAUGAUAAAUAGGGACAAUCGGGGCAAUUUGUAUUUCUAAACGAGCGGUGAAAUGCAUAGACUUUAGAAAGACAAACAAAUGCGAAAGCAUUUUGCAAGGAUGUUUUCAUUAAUCAAGAACGAAAGUUUAGGGAUUGAAGAUGAUUAGACACCGUCGUAAUCUAAACCAUAAACAAUGUCAACAAAGGAUGGGAAAGAAAAAUAGAAUUAUUUUUAAUAAAAAAAAAAAUUGUACUAAAAAGAAAAGAAAGAAUUUUUAUUUUGUCUUUUUGAAUAUUGUCUUUUCCCGUACUUUGUAAGAAAUUAAAAGUUAUCGGACUCUAGGGGGAGUAUGGUCGCAAGUCUGAAACUUAAAGGAAUUGACGGAAGGGCACCACCAGGUGUGGAUUUUGCGGCUUAAUUUGAUUCAACACGGGGAAACUUAUCAGGUCAGGACAUGUUAAGGAUUGACAGAUUGAAAGAUCUUUCAUGAUUAUAUGGGUGGUGGUGCAUGGCCGAUCUUAGUUCGUGGCAUGAGUUGUCGGCUUAAUUGCGUUAACGAACAGGACCUUUAGAGAUAAAUAGUGACGAAAAGAAUAUUGUUUUAUUAUUAUAAACAAAUAAUAAAAGAAGGAUAAAAUUCCCUUUUAUUAUAGAAUAAUUGUUUAUAAUAAAUAUUCUUUUUAUAAAAUGUCAAAAAAAGAGAAAUAUUUUUUCUUUUUUUUUUAAAAAUGCUUCUUAUUUCGACUAUUGGUUUAAAACCAAUGUAAGUUGAAGGCAAUAUCAGGUCUGUGAUGCCCUUAGAUGUUCUGGGCUGCACGCGUAAUACAAUGGUAAAGAUCAAAGGGAAAUAAAAAAGAAAAGAAAAAUAUUUUUUUUCUUCUUUCUUUUUAAAUGCAUUCAAGAUAUUGAUUGCUAAUCCUUAUUGAAUCUUUUCAACCUUAUCUGGAAUAGAUGUUUGUAAUUUUCCAUCUUCAACUAGGAAUACCUAGUAAAUAUAAGUCAACAACUUAUAUUGAUUACGUCCCUGCCCUUUGUACACACCGCCCGUCGCUCCUACCGAUUGAAUUGUCCGAUGAGUUGCAAGGAGAAGAGAAAGAAAAUAUUUUUUUUUUUCAUUUCAAAAUGUAACAAAUCUUACAAUUUAGAGGAAGGAGAAGUCGUAACAAGGUAACCGUAGGUGAACCUGCAGAAGGAUCA
rnacentral:rRNA from 1 species